rnacentral:rRNA from 1 species
GUCUAUGUCCAUACCAACCUGAAUGCACCAAGAUCUUGUCUGAUCUUGGCAGUUAAGCAGGGUUGGGCCUGGUUAGUACUUGGAUGGGAGAUUUGAAAGAAAUAGUGC